CCUACGGGAGGCAGCAGUGGGGAAUAUUGCGCAAUGGGGGAAACCCUGACGCAGCAACGCCGCGUGAAGGAUGAAGGUUUUCGGAUUGUAAACUUCUGUCGUGAGGGAAGAAGAUUGACGGUACUAAGUAAUAAACACCCGCCAAAUACGUGGCAGGAGCCGCGGUAAUACGGAGGGGGCAAGCGUUACUCGGAAUGGAUGGGGGUAAAGUGGGCGUAGGCGGGAUAGCAAGUCAGGUGUGAAAUCCCAUGGCUUAACCACGGAACUGCAUUUGAAAAUGGUAAUCUGGAGUGUGGGAGAGGUAAGUGGAAUUCGCGGUGUAGGGGUGAAAUGCGUAGAGAUCGGGAGGAACACCAGUGGCGAAGGCGACUUGCUGGACCAUAACUGACGCUGAGGCGCGAAAGCGUGGGGAGCAAACAGGAUUAGAUACCCGGGUAGUC
rnacentral:rRNA from 1 species